rnacentral:rRNA from 1 species
GAUGAACGCUAGCGGCAGGCCUAAUACAUGCAAGUCGAACGGUGUCUUCGGACAUAGUGGCGCACGGGUGCGUAACACGUAUGCAACCUACCUUACAUUGGGGGAUAGCCUUUCGAAAGGGAGAUUAAUACCGCAUAAGACAGUAGCUGGGCAUCCAGCAGCUGUUAAAGAUUUAUCGAUGUAAGCUGGGCAUGCGUCCAAUUAGCUAGUUGGUGAGGUAACGGCUCACCAAGGCUAUGAUUGGUAGGGGAACUGAGAGGUCAAUCCCACCACACUGGCACUGAGAUACGGGCCAGACUCCUACGGGAGGCAGCAGUAGGGAAUAUUGGGCAAUGGACGCAAGUCUGACCCGGCCAUGCCGCGUGCAGGAUGAAGGCGUUAUGCGUUGUAAACUGCUUUUAUACAGGAAGAAACGACUCUUGCGAGAGGCAUUGACGGUACUGUAUGAAUAAGCACCGGCUAACUCCGUGCCAGCAGCCGCCGUAAAAC